AGAGUUUGAUCCUGGCUCAGGAUGAACGCUGGCGGCGUGCUUAACACAUGCAAGUCGAACGAACCUUCGGGUUAGUGGCGGACGGGUGAGUAACGCGUGAGAAUCUGCCCUCAGGAGGGGGAUAACAGUUGGAAACGACUGCUAAUACCCCAUAUGCCGAGAGGUGAAAUGAAUUUCGCCUGGGGAUGAGCUCGCGUCUGAUUAGCUUGUUGGUGGGGUAAUAGCCUACCAAGGCUUCGAUCAGUAGCUGGUCUGAGAGGACGAUCAGCCACACUGGGACUGAGACACGGCCCAGACUCCUACGGGAGGCAGCAGUGGGGAAUUUUCCGCAAUGGGCGAAAGCCUGACGGAGCAACGCCGCGUGAGGGAUGGAGGCCUUUGGGCUGUAAACCUCUUUUCUCAAGGAAGAAGAUCUGACGGUACUUGAGGAAUAAGCCACGGCUAAUUCCGUGCCAGCAGCCGCGGUAAUACGGGAGUGGCAAGCGUUAUCCGGAAUUAUUGGGCGUAAAGCGUCCGCAGGCGGCCGUUUAAGUCUGUUGUUAAAUCGUGGAGCUCAACUCCAUCACGGCAAUGGAAACUGUUCGGCUUGAGUAUGGUAGGGGCAGAGGGAAUUUCCGGUGUAGCGGUGAAAUGCGUAGAUAUCGGGAAGAACACCAGUGGCGAAAGCGCUCUGCUGGGCCAUUACUGACGCUCAUGGACGAAAGCCAGGGGAGCGAAAGGGAUUAGAUACCCCUGUAGUCCUGGCCGUAAACGAUGAACACUAGAUGUUGGGGGAAUCGACCCCCUCGGUGUCGUAGCUAACGCGUUAAGUGUUCCGCCUGGGGAGUACGCACGCAAGUGUGAAACUCGAAGGAAUUGACGGGGGCCCGCACAAGCGGUGGAGUAUGUGGUUUAAUUCGAUGCAACGCGAAGAACCUUACCAAGGCUUGACAUCCUGCGAAUCUCUAAGAAAUUAGAGAGUGCCUUCGGGAACGCAGUGACAGGUGGUGCGUGGCUGUCGUCAGCUCGUGUCGUGAGAUGUUGGGUUAAGUCCCGCAACGAGCGCAACCCACGUUUUUAGUUGCCAGCAUUCAGUUGGGCACUCUAGAAAGACUGCCGGUGACAAACCGGAGGAAGGUGUGGACGACGUCAAGUCAUCAUGCUCCUUACGCCUUGGGCUACACACGUACUACAAUGCUGCGGACAAAGAGUAGCGAUCUUGCGAAAGUUAGCUAAUCUCAUAAACCGUGGCUCAGUUCAGAUCGUAGGCUGCAACUCGCCUACGUGAAGGAGGAAUCGCUAGUAAUCGCAGGUCAGCAUACUGCGGUGAAUACGUUCCCGGGCCUUGUACACACCGCCCGUCACACCAUGGAAGUUGGCCAUGCCCGAAGUCGUUACUCUAACCUUUUGGAAGAGGGCGCCGAAGGCAGGGCUAAUGACUGGGGUGAAGUCGUAACAAGGUAACC
rnacentral:rRNA from 1 species